rnacentral:rRNA from 1 species
UACGUAGGGUGCAAGCGUUGUCCGGAAUUAUUGGGCGUAAAGAGCUCGUAGGCGGUUUGUCGCGUCGGCUGUGAAAGCCCGGAGCUCAACUCCGGGUCUGCAGUCGAUACGGGCAGACUUGAGUGUUGCAGGGGAGACUGGAAUUCCUGGUGUAGCGGUGAAAUGCGCAGAUAUCAGGAGGAACACCGGUGGCGAAGGCGGGUCUCUGGGCAAUAACUGACGCUGAGGAGCGAAAGCGUGGGGAG